rnacentral:rRNA from 1 species
UGGGGAAUAUUGGACAAUGGGCGCAAGCCUGCUCCAGCCAUGCCGCGUGAGUGAUGAAGGCCCUAGGGUUGUAAAGCUCUUUCACCGGUGAAGAUAAUGACGGUAACCGGAGAAGAAGCCUCGGCUAACUUCGUGCCAGCAGCCGCGGUAAUACGAAGGGGGCUAGCGUUGUUCGGAUUUACUGGGCGUAAAGCGCACGUAGGCGGACUUUUAAGUCAGGGGUGAAAUCCCGGGGCUCAACCACGGAACUGCCUUUGAUAGUGGUAGUCUUGAGUAUGGUAGAGGUGGGUGGAAUUCCGAGUGUAGAGGGGAAAUUCGUAGAUAUUCGGAAGAACACCAGUGGCGAAGGCGCCUCACUAGACCAUUACUGACGCUAAGGUGCGAAAGCGUGGAGAGCAAACAGG